GCAGAGUUAAAGACGGCUGACAGGUGUGGAAAACGGCGGUGACGGAGGACCGACACCUGAACAGUGUAUUCCCAGCCUGUAUUCCUGCGGUCCAUCCACCUCAUUCCCACUGGGUCCAUGCCUUAGGAAGAUGAAUGAGCCGCAUCUGAUGUACAAUCCUGCAGGUCAGGUCAUGGUGGCAGGAGGCAAAGUAAGUCAAACCAGACUUCCCUCUCCCCAACAACGUGUUCCAGCUCCUCCUGGGGGAUUCAGAUGCCUUCCCUGGCCAGACAGGAUAUAUAAUCCCUCCAGCGAACUCUUGGUCUACAUCGGGAUCUCCAUCCAGACAAUAUGGUUUUUCCAUUUUGCAGAGAGAAAUAGGGGGCGCAGCUGCACACACAUUUUUCAAGUGACAGAAAGGGACAUUCAUCUGUCAAUGCAGCAUGAUUUUUUUUCUGGGUCUGGGAUGCCUUUUUGGUAACACAGUUCUCCCUAGGGAAGCCAAGACCACCCUGGUGGUAAUUUCAAUGCUACUGAAGAUAACAGGAGGCUUCAUUCUGGGUCUGUCAAAUCAAGUUGUUAUCUUCAAAAGUUACAGGUUUUUCAGUGCAAAAAUUUUUCCUCUCUCUCUAAUGCCGCUGCAUCCAACCAAGAACAGAAAUGUACAAACACCAACUGAGAAUUUGGUUCUAAAAAGACUUCAACUUUGGAAGAUGUCGAUUUGAUUUCUGAUCUCUUUCAUUGCUGAGGUUUAAUAUGAAGAUUUCCGGACACUUUUUAAAUACAAGCACAGAUUAUUUCACACAGCGCAUCUGACAUUUCCCUGUAUUUGUUCAUGUCCUAAUAAAA